GACGAACGCUGGCGGCGUGCUUAACACAUGCAAGUCGAACGGAAAGGCCCUGCUUUUGUGGGGUGCUCGAGUGGCGAACGGGUGAGUAACACGUGAGUAACCUGCCCUUGACUUUGGGAUAACUUCAGGAAACUGGGGCUAAUACCGGAUAGGAGCUCCUGCUGCAUGGUGGGGGUUGGAAAGUUUCGGCGGUUGGGGAUGGACUCGCGGCUUAUCAGCUUGUUGGUGGGGUAGUGGCUUACCAAGGCUUUGACGGGUAGCCGGCCUGAGAGGGUGACCGGCCACAUGGGGCCGGAGAUACGGCCGAGACCCCUCCGGGAGGAAGAGGGGGGGAAUAUGGCAAAAGGGGCGGAGGCCUGAGGCAGAAACCCCGGGUGCGGGAGGACGCCUUUGGGUUGGUAACCCGUUUCCGCCUGUGACGAGGCGGGGGGGAGGGUAAUGGGAAAAGAAGCCCCGGCAAACUCCGG
rnacentral:rRNA from 1 species